UGUACUUUCAUAUGAAACAAAAUAUCAUUGAAAUUGAAAUAACAAACUGGCCAAUGGCAGGAGGUGUAACGAAACCACAAGGGGAUAAAAGAAAAGGAGGGACUCACCGUUCCAUUUCGCAAGGAUAUUUUGAAAGGUUAAUCAUAUCGUGGCUUUGGCUAGAGUUGUUAUCACAAUGUCUGAAAGGAAACCUAAGGACAAAGUUGUAAUGGAGGCAAAAAGAAUUGUAUAUAAGGAUGGUAAAAAAGUCCGCUGUUGAGGAAACAAAAAAGAGUGGAAUAUGAGCCACAAAAGAAAUCAGGAAAGAAACACAAACAAGUAAAAGAAGCAGGUGAAGGUGGUGCUGCAGGCUACAACUUUCAUAAUUCCCGUGAGAUCGGCAACCUCAUAGCCCCCUAGCCGCAAAAAAAGGAAAAUUCUGAAUCUUGUCCGUUGUACAUUUAAGGAGCAUGAAAUUUUGUUACAGAGUAAUAUUCUUGUAUUUUGCUGACAUCAUAAGAUAUCAAAACAUGAGCCGUAUAAAAGAAGAUAAAUGUUGAUAAUGAAUGUUUGAAAUGUCUUAUUUUAUGAUUAUUACAACUGAAAUCGGAUAUUUGUAAACAAAUUUACUAUAAAUAUGAAUAAAAACUUUCAUGGUUCUUAAAUAAACAUAUUCAAUUUA